rnacentral:rRNA from 1 species
UUAAGCGACUAAGCGUACACGGUGGAUGCCCUGGCAGUCAGAGGCGAUGAAGGACGUGCUAAUCUGCGAUAAGCGUCGGUAAGGUGAUAUGAACCGUUAUAACCGGCGAUUUCCGAAUGGGGAAACCCAGUGUGAUUCGUCACACUAUCAUUAACUGAAUCCAUAGGUUAAUGAGGCGAACCGGGGGAACUGAAACAUCUAAGUACCCCGAGGAAAAGAAAUCAACCGAGAUUCCCCCAGUAGCGGCGAGCGAACGGGGAGCAGCCCAGAGCCUGAAUCAGUGUGUGUGUUAGUGGAAGCGUCUGGAAAGGCGCGCGAUACAGGGUGACAGCCCCGUACACAAAAAUGCACAUACUGUGAGCUCGAUGAGUAGGGCGGGACACGUGGUAUCCUGUCUGAAUAUGGGGGGACCAUCCUCCAAGGCUAAAUACUCCUGACUGACCGAUAGUGAACCAGUACCGUGAGGGAAAGGCGAAAAGAACCCCGGCGAGGGGAGUGAAAAAGAACCUGAAACCGUGUACGUACAAGCAGUGGGAGCACGCUUAGGCGUGUGACUGCGUACCUUUUGUAUAAUGGGUCAGCGACUUAUAUUCUGUAGCAAGGUUAACCGAAUAGGGGAGCCGAAGGGAAACCGAGUCUUAACUGGGCGUUAAGUUGCAGGGUAUAGACCCGAAACCCGGUGAUCUAGCCAUGGGCAGGUUGAAGGUUGGGUAACACUAACUGGAGGACCGAACCGACUAAUGUUGAAAAAUUAGCGGAUGACUUGUGGCUGGGGGUGAAAGGCCAAUCAAACCGGGAGAUAGCUGGUUCUCCCCGAAAGCUAUUUAGGUAGCGCCUCGUGAAUUCAUCUCCGGGGGUAGAGCACUGUUUCGGCAAGGGGGUCAUCCCGACUUACCAACCCGAUGCAAACUGCGAAUACCGGAGAAUGUUAUCACGGGAGACACACGGCGGGUGCUAACGUCCGUCGUGAAGAGGGAAACAACCCAGACCGCCAGCUAAGGUCCCAAAGUCAUGGUUAAGUGGGAAACGAUGUGGGAAGGCCCAGACAGCCAGGAUGUUGGCUUAGAAGCAGCCAUCAUUUAAAGAAAGCGUAAUAGCUCACUGGUCGAGUCGGCCUGCGCGGAAGAUGUAACGGGGCUAAACCAUGCACCGAAGCUGCGGCAGCGACGCUUAUGCGUUGUUGGGUAGGGGAGCGUUCUGUAAGCCUGCGAAGGUGUGCUGUGAGGCAUGCUGGAGGUAUCAGAAGUGCGAAUGCUGACAUAAGUAACGAUAAAGCGGGUGAAAAGCCCGCUCGCCGGAAGACCAAGGGUUCCUGUCCAACGUUAAUCGGGGCAGGGUGAGUCGACCCCUAAGGCGAGGCCGAAAGGCGUAGUCGAUGGGAAACAGGUUAAUAUUCCUGUACUUGGUGUUACUGCGAAGGGGGGACGGAGAAGGCUAUGUUGGCCGGGCGACGGUUGUCCCGGUUUAAGCGUGUAGGCUGGUUUUCCAGGCAAAUCCGGAAAAUCAAGGCUGAGGCGUGAUGACGAGGCACUACGGUGCUGAAGCAACAAAUGCCCUGCUUCCAGGAAAAGCCUCUAAGCAUCAGGUAACAUCAAAUCGUACCCCAAACCGACACAGGUGGUCAGGUAGAGAAUACCAAGGCGCUUGAGAGAACUCGGGUGAAGGAACUAGGCAAAAUGGUGCCGUAACUUCGGGAGAAGGCACGCUGAUAUGUAGGUGAAGUGAUUUACUCAUGGAGCUGAAAUCAGUCGAAGAUACCAGCUGGCUGCAACUGUUUAUUAAAAACACAGCACUGUGCAAACACGAAAGUGGACGUAUACGGUGUGACGCCUGCCCGGUGCCGGAAGGUUAAUUGAUGGGGUUAGCGCAAGCGAAGCUCUUGAUCGAAGCCCCGGUAAACGGCGGCCGUAACUAUAACGGUCCUAAGGUAGCGAAAUUCCUUGUCGGGUAAGUUCCGACCUGCACGAAUGGCGUAAUGAUGGCCAGGCUGUCUCCACCCGAGACUCAGUGAAAUUGAACUCGCUGUGAAGAUGCAGUGUACCCGCGGCAAGACGGAAAGACCCCGUGAACCUUUACUAUAGCUUGACACUGAACAUUGAGCCUUGAUGUGUAGGAUAGGUGGGAGGCUUUGAAGUGUGGACGCCAGUCUGCAUGGAGCCGACCUUGAAAUACCACCCUUUAAUGUUUGAUGUUCUAACGUGGACCCGUAAUCCGGGUUGCGGACAGUGUCUGGUGGGUAGUUUGACUGGGGCGGUCUCCUCCUAAAGAGUAACGGAGGAGCACGAAGGUUGGCUAAUCCUGGUCGGACAUCAGGAGGUUAGUGCAAUGGCAUAAGCCAGCUUGACUGCGAGCGUGACGGCGCGAGCAGGUGCGAAAGCAGGUCAUAGUGAUCCGGUGGUUCUGAAUGGAAGGGCCAUCGCUCAACGGAUAAAAGGUACUCCGGGGAUAACAGGCUGAUACCGCCCAAGAGUUCAUAUCGACGGCGGUGUUUGGCACCUCGAUGUCGGCUCAUCACAUCCUGGGGCUGAAGUAGGUCCCAAGGGUAUGGCUGUUCGCCAUUUAAAGUGGUACGCGAGCUGGGUUUAGAACGUCGUGAGACAGUUCGGUCCCUAUCUGCCGUGGGCGCUGGAGAACUGAGGGGGGCUGCUCCUAGUACGAGAGGACCGGAGUGGACGCAUCACUGGUGUUCGGGUUGUCAUGCCAAUGGCACUGCCCGGUAGCUAAAUGCGGAAGAGAUAAGUGCUGAAAGCAUCUAAGCACGAAACUUGCCCCGAGAUGAGUUCUCCCUGACCCUUUAAGGGUCCUGAAGGAACGUUGAAGACGACGACGUUGAUAGGCCGGGUGUGUAAGCGCAGCGAUGCGUUGAGCUAACCGGUACUAAUGAACCGUGAGGCUUAACCUU